rnacentral:hammerhead_ribozyme from 1 species
GCACUGCUGAUGAGUCCCAUAUUAGGACGAAACAGCUGUCCAGUAG